rnacentral:rRNA from 1 species
UACGGAGGAUGCGAGCGUUAUCCGGAUUUAUUGGGUUUAAAGGGUGCGUAGGCUGUUAUAUAAGUCAGUGGUGAAAUAUUCGGGCUCAACCGGGAUACUGCCAUUGAUACUGUUUGUCUGGAGUGAAGUUGGAGUGGGCGGAAUGUGUUAUGUAGCGGUGAAAUGCUUAGAUAUUAGGAGGAAUACCAGUGGCGAAGGCGACUUUCUGGACUUAUACUGACGCUGAGGAACGAAAGCGUGGGGAGCAAAC